rnacentral:misc_RNA from 1 species
GGCUCCACUUGGGAGUUCUUGAAUUUCUUUGAUACAUAUGAGAGAUAUGAAUUACCAAUUAGGGAUAAGGAAGGGGUUCAUGAGCUUAAAGACGAAGUAGAAAGUAAAAUUCCUGGAGAUUCCAUAAAUUUGGCGGGAGAGGAGAAACAGAGUAAUGCCAAAUUGACAGUGGAAAAUGGUGAGGCGAAGCAGCCUGAUGUUAAUGUGGUGCAGACGAAUGUUAUUUCAGAGAAAGAGACGAAAGAUUCUGUCGAGUCUGAGAAUCGAAGUACCCCUGGGGUUAUGAGAGAACUGGAGGCUCUCUUUGAGAAAGCUGCAGAGUCAGGAAAUCAAGUGUUAAAGAUACUUGAUACAGGAAAAGUCCGCUACAAUAAUAAGAAUUCUAUCUAUCAAGGAGUUUCUUCCAAGAUGUUGCAUGUGGUAACCCCAUCUUUCUUGGCGAUACCUUCUAAAAUUACCGAGACCCCAUCUAAAGAGAAGAUUGGUUCUGUUGGUCAGGGCUUUAAUGAAGAUUUGGCAGUGAUUUCAGCGAAUUUGUCUUCCACUCUCAAGAA